GCCAUAUUGAAAAUAACGCUACCACAUUGCAAUGCAAUCAGAGUGCGCACACCGCCUGGAUUUGGUUAUUGUGCAGCACUUCAGAGUAAUCGACAAAGAGGCGGUUUGCUUUCACAGAAGCUUUGGCUCCCUGACAAAUCGAGAUUAGGAUGCAACAUUCCCCACGGAGCUCCGUAGGUUUAUCCUGAGAACGCGCGAGAAGUGUCAGGUGUCAUGGCUUUAGAUGAAGACACGUCUUCAUUGAUACCAAACGGCGAUACACAAAAUAGAAGCGAACACUCUCCCCUCCGCUGGAUUCUCAAAAUGUCGUACUCAUUUCUCUUGGUUGCUGAAAUAGCUGCUGUUGGUUUUUAUAUUUACGACUACUGGACAAUUGUGUCACCUAUUUUCUCAUCUAAAAAGGAAACUGUAGUGCCAAGAAAUAGUUCUGAAGUCAAUCUAAAGGAUGCUGGCCUCUUUUUAAACAUGACACCGAGAUAUUCCAUAUCACUUAUCACCUUGAAUUCUCUUGACACCUUGAAUUGUUGGAUUUUUCUUGGAGUAAUAGUUAUUUCAUCGCAAUUUAUAGACUGCUGCACAAUGAUGAAAAACCUGAUUCGUUUACCAAGAUUCUGGACCUUGUUAUUUUGUUUUUUUCUCACCCUCCUAGGUAACAUAAUUGAAAUUAUUUCACCUUACAUAUUUUUGUACAAAUUUGCAUUUACACCUGAGGUUUCUGUUACGUUCGUUAUAAGUGCUUUGUCAGAGACGAUUAUGUUAGGAGCACUCAAUCAGACGAAAAUUUGUGAUCUGGUACAAGGUGAAAAAUCCUUGAUAUUUAAGGGAGCUCUGUCUGUCUUUUUUGUUCGAUUGCUUGCUAAUCUGAUUGUUACUACAUUUCAUCUGGCUGUAAUUUUAUGUGUUCUUGCUGGAGCAAAGGACACAUUUAGGAAGGAAAGAGGCGCCAUUACAAACAGUGUCAGUAUGUUUUUAUACCUGCCAUUCUACAAAAAAGGAACUGGACUCCUUUGGAGCAAAAUAUUGCGUGAUGAUAGGCAUAUCAUCGGCAAGAUUUAGGAUACAGAGAUAGCUGACAAUGGUAGACCACCGUUAAUCGGCCUUCAUUAUUGUAACCCCUGGUUAAGAGUAAACCGUAAUGUCUUUCAGGAUGUCUAAUCAGGAAUGAUAGAUUGACAUAGAUUCCUUGUAAAGUCUUUGUAUCACCUAUGAAAAUAUAAACCACAACAUCAGUUUAGGCACAUUGCGACUAUUCGCUCGAAUUAAUCCUCACAUGCCUUCUUAGAAAUUAGCAGUCGUGACAAAUUAAGUCUCCUGGUUGAUAAAUAAAUGAAUAAACGAUUAGCAUGCCAUUUUGUAGACUCAAGGCAUUGUCGGGAUUGAAUUACCAUUUGAUUGAUUAAGAAAUCAGCAAAGUCAGUCACCUGAUCAGCAAUGUGCGUAAUGUGUUAUAUUCGUAAGAACAAAUUAGUUUGGGCGGAAGUUCCAGAUUUGACGCAGUUUCGAUUUGAUUUACAAAACAGUCAGGCAGAUCUUGAUCAACGAGAUAUAUUGCCAUCGUUGAGGGUCCCCAAUAGGUUUUUCGGGAUCCGGGAUUUGGCUUAUUCGAAGGCCGGGAUUCGAGAUUUUGAAGGAAAAGGGGGACGAGAUUCGGGAUUGUAGUUAUGACCAGGACACGGGAUUUGACGAUUUUAACAGGCGGGAAUCGGGAAAGGU
rnacentral:lncRNA from 1 species